rnacentral:lncRNA from 1 species
GUAAGCUCCAGACGCCUCUCUCCGGCCCUGCCUGCGCAUCCCAGCACUGCGACCGUCUCUCGCUCUCUCUCCCCCGGCAGGAAGUGUGGAGGAGGCCAGGCGUGCCCUACAGGAAGCCAGACAACAAUUAGAUGCUCAGCACUCGGCCUCUCAGGCGGAGCUGGAGAGAUUGUGGGACCAAGAGGCCCUCAGCAGUUCCAGAGUCAAGGAUUUGGAAAAGGAGCUGUUCAGAAGCAGACAGGACGAGCUGGAGACUGCUUUGUCCCUUCAGCUUUCUACCGAAGAAUGGGAAGAAGUCUGUCAAAUCAAGUAAGCAGUGUUCGCACAGACCUGACUGUGUUUGUUUAACCCCGAGCGUACGAGCUGACCGUGAGCAGUGUGUCCGUGUCCAGGCGUGAGCUCCAGGACCUGCAGCGUCUGUACAGGCCCGGCUCCUUCAGCAGCAGGAGGGCCUUAACCUGGACACGCAGAGAGUCCUGCACAGCCGAGAGGAGGCCCACACGGCACACACCGUCUCCUUCCAGAAGGUACAGGAGCGCAUCUGUUGUGUGAACUCAGCGGCUGUCCUCACAAGCGAACACGGCGCCCCUAGGGGGGGUGAACUCGUGCUCUAGCAAGGACUAAACUGCAUUAACCGAGCUUGUCCUUCACUGUCUGUUUCUGCUGUGACAGCUCCACAGCGAGCUGAGCGUGUCAUACCAGGCCCAGGAAGAGCUCUGCCAGAGAGAUCAGCAGAUCCGAGAGCUCCAGGCACAGCUGCGGAGCUUCACAGCAGCCGUGGGGCACGCGAGGUGAGUCCGUGUGGGGAGCACCGUGACAGAUUUACAUCACGCUCAAUGCCCUUUGUAUGCAGAGCAAGCUGAAUGAGCACUUCAGCAAAACCACACACCGUUCCCUUGCUUUUCUCCUCUUAGUAUAACCGCAUCCAUAAUAAAUGAAAUGCCUUUCGGUAAGAGAUGACCAGGAGUUUUUAUCCUUUUUGCAAGACUUCAUGCUGUCUUACAACUCCAAAGCGUUGGCAUUAACCCUAACACUGCCAGAGCUCCUCUCAGCAGAUCUGCAUAGGGAAG